GAUGAACGCUGGCGGCGUGCCUAAUACAUGCGAGUCGAGCGAACAGAUGAGGAGCUUGCUCCUCUGACGUUAGCGGCGGACGGGUGAGUAACACGUGGAUAACCUACCUAUAAGACGGGGAUAACUUCGGGAAACCGGAGCUAAUACCGGAGAAUAUAUUGAACCGCAUGGUUCAAUAGUGAAAGACGGUGUUGCUGUCACUUAUAGAUGGAUCCGCGCCGCAUUAGCUAGUUGGUAAGGUAACGGCUUACCAAGGCAACGAUGCGUAGCCGACCUGAGAGGGGGAUCGCCCACACGGGAACUGAGACACGGUCCAGACUCCUACGGGAGGCAGCAGUAGGGAAUCUUCCGCAAUGGGCGAAAGCCUGACGGAGCAACGCCGCGUGAGUGAUGAAGGUCUUCGGAUCGUAAAACUCUGUUAUUAGGGAAGAACAAAUGUGUAAGUAAAUAUGCACGUCUUGACGGUACCUAAUCAGAAAGCCACGGCUAACUACGUG
rnacentral:rRNA from 1 species